UACGUAGGGUGCGAGCGUUGUCCGGAAUUACUGGGCGUAAAGAGCUCGUAGGUGGUUUGUCGCGUUGUUCGUGAAAACCGGGGGCUUAACCCUCGGCGUGCGGGCGAUACGGGCAGACUUGAGUACUGCAGGGGAGACUGGAAUUCCUGGUGUAGCGGUGGAAUGCGCAGAUAUCAGGAGGAACACCGGUGGCGAAGGCGGGUCUCUGGGCAGUAACUGACGCUGAGAUGCGAAAGUGUGGGGAGCAAACAGG
rnacentral:rRNA from 1 species